AUUGAACGCUGGCGGCAGGCCUAACACAUGCAAGUCGAACGAGUGGCGGACGGGUGAGUAAUGUCUGGGAAACUGCCCGAUGGAGGGGGAUAACUACUGGAAACGGUAGCUAAUACCGCAUACCAUCGGAUGUGCCCAGAUGGGAUUAGCUCGUAGGUGGGGUAACGGCUCACCUAGCCGACGAUCCCUAGCUGGUCUGAGAGGAUGACCAGGCACACUGGGACUGAGACACGGGCCAGACACCUACGGGAGGAAGCAGUGGGGAAUAGUGCACAAUGGGCGCAAGCCUGAUGCAGCCAUGCCGCGUGUAUGAAGAAGGCCUUCGGGUUGUAAAGUACUUUCAGCGAGGAGGCGUUACUCGCAGAAGAGGCACCGGCUAACUCCGUGCCAGCAGCAGCGGUAAUUC
rnacentral:rRNA from 1 species